AUUUUGCUACACGGUAAAGCAAAAUAUCAGCGUCUUGCAGUUCAGAGUGAAACCUACGAAAAACCAACCAAUCGGGGCUCGGGGUGGGUCCGUGAAGGUUUUGUUACUUUAAUUUCCGAGGCAAAACGGAGAAUGGAAAAGCGAAAAAGUUCAUUCACAUAUGCUAUGUAAGCUGGUUGCUGGCACCUGCAGGCCUGUUUGAAGGACAACUGGACAGAACAUAUCUGAAUUCUUGGAUUUCAGCUGAGACUCUCCUUCCCCAUCCUUCAAGGAAAGCUCCUUCUUUACACUUCCUGUUUGGCAUGCUGCUCUCAAGGGCUUUGAAGAUGACGACUGGGAAGCGGGUGGAGUUGUUGUCCAGCAGCUGCUCCAGGGUGUGCUGCAGGCCACCAAAGUAAUUUGGGGGGCUACAGGUACACGUGCCGAGG